ACACACACGCACACACAUCUACAAAUCUGCAUGGAAACAUACACAUGAUUGACAGUGGGUGUUUCUUUGACUUUAAAAGUCAUGUGACAGUGUAUUCUUCAUCUUGACAGUAAAACCCCAACCAGUUAAGUUAUCAAAACAAAAGUUGUGUAUUCUAAUGUUAUGCUGAGAUUAACGAAUCCGGUCAUCCCAGUAGGUUGUUCCUUAGCUUUUCUAAAGCUCUGUGCAGGAGAGUGCUGACCUGUUCAGUGUUUGCCUUGGGGUUCGUGAGAAACAACAGUCAAGCACACAUGCAUGCACAUCCCUACCUGUGUACUCAUAUGGCAUGGACAUACACUGUUAAAUAUUACUGUGAUUUCACAAUACCUUACAGUAUUCUUUCACAGUAAAUUACUGUACUCAAACAUUUACUGUAAAAUCACAGUAGCUCUAUCACAUUACAGCACCUUGUUGUGAAAUUUGAAUUGCACUUGAACCGCACAGCAUUGUGGGGCGAUUUCUAACGUUCACCCCUCCCACCCGCACCUGCCACCCUCAACUGAAUUUUCAACUCAGCCGUCCACCAGUGACUUCAAUCAUCACUUUUCUGCAUGUGUAAGCUGUACAAACUCUGCCAUCAUAUCCAAGACAUUGCAUUGUGAGGACUGUUGCCCUGGGAACACUGAGCGCAUUCUCGAAAAUUCCAAAUUUGUGCCACUUCCAUACGAAGACAGCCCAGAAUAAUUGGGCUCCAUCAACCAUCCCGGGUAAAGUCGGUCUGUCCUGAUUGCACUACUUGCUAAUUGAUGACGUCUAGAAGCCAUAGCUGCUUCCCUGGCAGCCCUCACAAAUAAACUGAUACCAGGAAUUAACAUACAGUAGAUGGUGAUGGUGGUGGUGACAAGGGUGCCUUCACAAGGUGCCAUGUCACAAUCUCAGUGUGGAGCCAAAGGCUGCUAUUGCAAGUCAGAUGGGGGACGAUCGAUGUAAGGCAUCAGAAAGGUGGUGUACGUACAAAGGCUGGAGCUGCUGGAGACAGUGUUGCACUUAGAUACUUGAUUUACUGCCGAAGGUACCAUCAGAGCACCACCCUACCCCUGCAGGACCAGAAGAGGACGGACAGGGGGCCAACAUUUUUUAACACUCUGACCAUGGACUAUUUAAACCAUUGAGUUAACGCAGACGUCUGAUCCCACUUGGCUAAAACAGAAGACUGAGGAGGAGUUUCUUUCCUCAUGCCAUUCGCAUCCUGAGCAGACAUACUGCAUUACAUGGACUUGCCAUACUGCACUUACACACUGCACUAUUUACCCCCUGACUCAUUCCGUGUCAAAUCAGACAAGGUUAUGCUGCACCGUCUCAGGCCUGUACAAUAUUUUUUUGUUCAAUCCUAUGUCUUCAUAUUAUAAUGUUUGUAUGGCCUGCUCAAUGAUUUUCAUUGAAAAGUGUUCAUUAAAAGUUCAAAUGGUA